rnacentral:rRNA from 1 species
UACGUAGGGUGCGAGCGUUAAUCGGAUUUAUUGGGCGUAAAGCGCACGCAGGCGGUGCGGUAAGUUUCGAGUGACAGGUGGUGGCUUAACUGCCACAGGACUCGGAAAACUGCCGCACUUGAGGGCUUGAGAGGGACGCGGAAUUCCAGGUGGAGCGGUGAAAUGCGUAGAGAUCUGGAAGAACACCAAAGGCGAAGGCAGCGUCCUGGCAAGUCACUGACGCUCAGGUGCGAAAGCUAGGGGAGCGAACGGG